UUAUAACAAUCAUCAUUAUUAUUCUUUCAUCAAUUUUCUCUCCCGUGGAUGGAGCCUGGCAGAGACUUCAGAGCAGGCAGAACUGCUAAAGCAGAAAGUAAUGGUGCCCCCAGGACGAAUAAACGGAGCACUUCAAACCAGCAGAUGCUGCGGAAAGCCCCGGCGCAGGAAAUAUCUGCGGAAUGAAUCGGGAGCUUUAUGGAGCUAGGGCUGAAGGGCUGUAGGAAAGUUCACCAGCCCAGGAGGGGAAGGAAACAGGGAGGACCAGGAGCUGGCACCUCCUAGUGUGGGGCUGGCACCCUGGGGAGUGGGGCUGGCACCUCAGGGUGUGGGUACUGGUGUGGGAUGGAAUCCCUUGAUUGUUUAGGGUCUGACGUCAGCCCCGAUAGGAACGACAAGCAGUUCCCUGCUCAUGGGUGCCCCAAAUCACCUGUGCAGGAACCAGCAGUUCAGUGAAACCCCAGGAAAAGCUGAGGGAUCCCAGAUGGGCACAGGCUCAACCCUGAGGAAGGAGGGAGAUGCUCUGACAGGAGAGCAGUAGAGGGCAGGGACGGCAGGAGGCUGGCCAGGAGGAAGGGAGGCUGGGGGAAAGAGUCUCCAGAGGAGCACCAAGCCAGAAAAGCACAGAGGGGUGGAAAGCUCUGACAAACUGCCCUCAGCCCAGCCCUCAGGUCCCACGGCUGGGACUGCUGCUGCCCGGCUCCGGCAGGGAGGAUGCACAGCAUGGAGGAGAUGGCACCAUGGCAUCAGGGUGAUGGCACCACGGACAAACCCUUGGCUUUAGCCUGAGGGCACAGGAGACUGAGACUCGCAGAGAGUCACCCCUUGGUGGCUGAGGGAACAUGAACCAGUGACAGCAAGACCUGAAAACGGGUUUUCAGGAAGUAAAAUGUUUCUGGGAGUGAAGAGCAAAUGGCUUUGGUGAGACAAUUCAGUGUCACACCAGAUUUCCCCACUUCUUUCCAGUGUCCCCAGGCCAUUUAAGCAGUGGCCGUGUCCUGGGCCUGCCCUGUCCCCACAGCCCCACACCCAGGUGGGUGCUGUGGGAUGGGCAGGGCCCGGUGCCGCGCCAGCGCCCAGCUGGCACCCAGCCCUUGGCUGCACCACGGGCCUCAUUAGGUGCUUAAUUUUUAAGAUGCUCCCUAACUUUACGGGCUCUUUCCCGGCCGAGAGUGCAAACCUGCCUGUGGUCCCCGGUGGCGUCUGCGGGCCGUGCUGCCGGAGCGCGGCGUGCCGGGGCCUGCGCCGCCGUGGGUGGCAGGGCCGUGGCCCGGAGCCCACCCGUCCGUGCCAGGCGUGUUCCUGCAGCCCUUCCUGGGCCAUCCCCACCCGUCCGUGCCAGGCGUGUUCCUGCAGCCCUUCCUGGGCCAUCCCCACCCGUCCGUGCCAGGCGUGUUCCUGCAGCCCUUCCUGGGCCAUCCCCACCCGUCCGUGCCAGGCGUGUUCCUGCAGCCCUUCCUGGGCCAUCCCCAUGGCAGCCCAGAAAUCACCAGAAGCUGAAGCACAUUAAGGGCACUGUCCAAAUGCCUCUGACACCCUGACAGGCUUGGGACAAUGACCCUCUCCCUGGAAAGCCUGUUCCAGAGAUGUGGGGUGGGAGCUGCAGCGAUGGACAAACAGUCUCCAGCUGCCAGAGGAGCAAAUCCUGGAGCCUCACAACUUUUCCAUCCAGCCAUGAAACAAUCUGCUGCUUUUAUUGAAACCAGAUCGCCGGCUCCAUCUUGCAGCCGCUGCUGCAGCGGGUUCGGCACGUCCAGCAGCCCCCGGGAGCUGCCCGCGCCGCGAGGGGAGCGGCGAGGGGGACGCCUGGCCACGUUCCCACCACAGCCUUGCCCACGCUCACAACGUGGACACGUUUUUGGGAAGGUGGAUCAGGCACUGCCAGGAUCUGGAAGGGCUCCUUGGAGCCCUCACGGUUGCCAUGCAAUCCCAGCCCACGUCCCCUGUGGAAGCCCAGGUCAUCCUAAAGGUUACAAGUGAAACUGUUCCACAAUGAGUUCAUGAGUAAAACCAUCCAAACCUGGGAUCCCUUAUCUUUGUGUGGUGGCACAGGGAAAUUGUGGCACUGGAGCAUCCCUGGACCAAGAGAAUGCAAGGACAAAACUGGAUUUCCCCUGGAAAUGCUGCAAAGCCUGGAGAUUCCAUACUGGUGGAAAUCAGUGAGCCAAGCAGAGACAGGAGAGGUUCACACAGAGGCUCAGUGAUGUCACCAGCUAGCAAGUGGUGCCACAUGCUUGGUGCUAGGGAAAUUUUGAACAAAGCCUCGAGGAGCUCAGGGAGGGCUCUGGAUAUCCAGGAGGCUCUGAUGGGGUCCCCAAGGGAGCUCAUGUGCCCCCAGGGAUGGAGGGAGGUGGGCAACAGGGUAAAACCCUCCAGCCGUGGCAGACUGCCCUUUAACAUAGCAGGAGGAGCUACAGACUGGGGGAUUGCAGUGGGAUUGAGUCACUGCUGGGGCAUGGUGAGGGUCCCACACAGUUCCUGAGGGUCUCGGUGUGGAUGCCAUGGAGGGGCUGAUGGAAGGGCUUCGUUUGCAUCUGCAGUUCCUGGGCAGGGAAAGCGUCAGCUUUUCUGUUGCUAAGGAACUCCAGCAAGGUCCAACCUACCCAAAACUAUCAGCACUUGGAAAUCAGAGGCACCACCCCACCUGGCACUGUCCCUCUGCCCCUGCUGGGACAGUGACAGGACUGGAGGGGUGAGGGAGGGUGCAGGACCCCAGCCUGCUCCCUGCCUUCCCUCCCUGGGAAAGCAUCCCUGCUCUCCAGGCAGGGAGACAGUGGGUGCAGCCACCUAGAUGUGCUUAGGAACCCCCCAGAUAUGCUUAGAGACCCCCUUGAUGUGCUUAGAGACAUCCCAGGUGUGCUCACAGACCCCAGAGCUGCUCAUGGACCCCCAGAUUUGCCCACAAACUCCAGAUCUGCUCACAGAGCCCAGAUUUGCCCGUGAGCCCCCAGGUUUUGUCGCUUGGGUUCAUUUAUCUCUCACCAGCAGUGUCAGGGUAGAGUGAGGGCCCCCCUCCCAUGGGAUCACCUUUGCCUGUGCAAGGAAUUCACCCAGGCGUGCUGCAAUAACACUCUUCCUGGGAUGACUUAAUCCUGGCAGCCCCUUUCCAUGCAGGAAAAUAUCCUGAAUGUUUUAACAAGGCAGAGAGUUAUCCAGCUCCUCACCUCCCCUCUCGGCUCAGAAGAACCAUUCCCAAAUUUCCACAGGGAUGUAAGUAAGGCAGUAGCUAGGGAUGAUGGGCUCCUCUCUAGGACCACUUGGCUGCAGUCUGCUAAAGAGAUAUUUUGGGCACUUUUUUUUCUCCGAAGCCUGAGGGUUUUUUGAAACAGAGCAAAUUAACAAACCCCGGAGCCGGCUGAUUUCAGCUGAGUGUUUUGAUGAAUAAUGUGCCAUAAUGGGCCCAAACAAGCUGGGGAGUUUAUCUCAUCCCACUGCACAUCCCAUUCCGUGUCGCAUCCGCUCGCUCCCAGCCCUCCUGCCCCGGCACUGAUUGGAGAGUCUGUUCUCCUCCAUCAUCUGUUCUGGCUGCUCCAAAAUGGAAUAUUUUGAGGAUUCUAGAGAGAAGGGUUUUUUUGUCUGCCAGAAAGCCCUUCUGCCGAGAGGUGUCUGCAGGAAGCUGAGCACAGUCAACUUGCAAAGUUGGGAAAUUUGCUCAAAAUGCAAAUCCUGUCCCUCUGGCUUGGAUCCCAGCACAGUGCAGGUCACGGAGGUGAGGAGCAAACAUGGCCCCAGGUAUUCACAGCUUCCCAAACCAAACACCUGAGCUGGUUUGGGAACGGAUCCAUCAUUUCCAUUUCCGUAUAUAUUUAUUACACUCAGCUCUCCUCAGCACUGGGUAAAAAGCAAGUGCAAAUUGAGCCACUGAUUGAUUGAUUGAUCAUUGCGUGCAUUUACCAAUUGGUUUCCAUUUGUUUGUCUGAGAAAUACCCACAAGCUUUAAAAGCCAGAUUCUCGCUGAUGUCUAGAAAACAGAAUUACAAAAAAAGGUGAGGGAAACCUGCAGGUCGGUUUGUGGGACUGAGCUAGGAUGCUGAGAGCUCCUGAGGCAUCAUCCUGAAGAUGCUCUGGGUAGGAUCACAGGACCACAGAAUUAUUUAGGUUGGAAAAGGCCUCCAAGAUCAUUGAGUUGGUAGUGCCAUGUGUUCCUAUUUAUAAAUUAAUUAGAUCUCAAAUGCACUUGUGGCUGUUGUGGGCUCCCUGGCUGGUGGGAUCUACUGGCUGGAGACGAUGCAGUUCUGACCCUCCGCAGCACAGGGAGUGGCUGGACAUGGGAACAGGCUCCCCAGGGAAGUGGUCAUAGACCCAGGAGUUCACAGAGCACUUGGACAAUACUCUCAGGCACAUGGAAGGAUUUUGGGGCUGUCGUGUGCAGGGCCAGGAGUUGGACUCGGUGAUCCUUGUGGAUCCUGAGUGAUUUGCCCACAGGUGGGUCCAAGGGGACACUCACAGCUCAAGCGGUGGCUGAGGGGUGAGGAGCUCUUGAUCUCCAUCUAGUUCUGAGCCACAGAUGUUCCUUUCUCUAAUCCAUGGACAAGACAUCAGGAGCAGCAGCAUUCCUGAGGGAGCACGAGGGGUUUAUGUUGGGCAAACACCAAGGCUGUUCUGCAGCACCGGGAUGUUUAACCUUGGCCAGGAGGAAUGGUUGUGCUAUUGUACUGCACAAAAUUAAUUGUUCUAACCCCAAGAGACCUGACCAAUGGUGGGCAGCUCCCAGCAAAUUCCCAGAUUUACACAGUCCCUCUCCUGUCCCAAAUAACUGCAUCCAUCAGGAACUAGCAUAUUUCCCCCUGCAGCUUCCCCCAGGGCAGAGAACUGCACCCUUGCCCUGAGGGGUGCCCAGAUGAGCAGGCAGCUGGUCCCGGUGCCAGGAGCUGGCAGGGACGUGGCGCUUGCUGUGCUGGAGCCUUGCUCCCCUCUCCUGCCUCAUUCACCACAUUUCCUGUUGUGGGACAAAUCUGCUUUUUGUGUAAAUCUGUCAGCAGCAAGAAGUCAGUGAGUUUCCCUAAGUGAGUUUUUCGUGUAUUUUUAAUAAAGGUCAC